GACGGAGGGUGCUAGCGUUGUUCGGAAUCACUGGGCGAAAGGGCGCGUAGGCGGCCUCAGGUGUCGGAUGUGAAAGCCCGGGGCUCAACCCCGGAGGUGCAUCCGAAACUCUGGGGCUGGAGGUCGGAAGAGGAGGGUGGAAUACCCAGUGUAGAGGUGAAAUCGUAGAUAUUGGGUGGAACACCGGUGGCGAAAGCGGCUCUCUGGUCCGGACCUGGACGCUGAGGCGCGAAAGCGUGGGGAGCAA
rnacentral:rRNA from 1 species